rnacentral:lncRNA from 1 species
GCAAAGAGGCGCUACACUCCAAGGCGGCCCUUUGGAACCGUCCUUGGCCCGGGUGCACCUACUUUGGAUUCGCCCAGACUGCAAAUUUUUCUUUCCUUUUGCUGGGGCCACGGGACAGAGCACCUGGGCAGAGCAAGCGGAGAGGCGCCACAUCCCCGAGAGGCGCUUCGUAGUUGUCCUUGGACCGGGCGCAGACACUCAGUAUUGGUCAGCGCUGGAAAUUUUCUUUCCUUUUGCUGUUGGGGCCGCAGAACCAGUCUCCUCCUUUCCCCUGCUCAGACAAAGGGCACGGGAAGGGCUUUGCUGGGGCAAAGGGGGGUGGGGGGUUCUCUGUCCCACGACAGAUGGGUCGCGGUUAAGACUUUAAUUGCUGACUUUUGGGCCGGAUCAGAUUCCUUUUCCUACCUGCCACUUCCCAGCAGCGAAAAAUCCCCCUCCUGCUGCACUCCUCCGCCACCGGGCUAGGUUGAAAGGAAAAAGCCAAGAAGCGCGAAGCAGCCCGGCUCUGGAAGGCUUUGGAGAGUCCAGCUGACUUGUACACAAUUCGCGGCCUCUGGAGCCUUACCUGCCUUCUUGACUGAAUGCCACCAGUUCGUUUUACGCUUGUGGCUUUUUGUUGAAGUCCCUAUCAUAAGCAAAUGCAGUUUCUGGCUAUGGUUACUGCAAUUCGAAAUAAAAGGUAAUAAGAUAAUAGAGCCAUACAUUACCAAAUAAGCCAUAAUCUCUAAUCUCUUAUUCCUUGAUAUGUCACAAAAUACUAUUGAUUUUUUUAAAUUAAAAAUGGAUUGGAAAAUAUUAUAACUAAUUCCACUUUCUGCCCUAGUUCAUUGACUUGUCCCUGGUCAUGUUUUUAGAGUUUUCUGGCCUGUUCAACGUCUCUGACCCCCAGCCCCUUCACCAAGAGCAACAGUCUGCUUUCUCUUUGCUUUAGCUUGUGAGCUAAGGGAGGAGAGACGAAAGCAUUAUUAUUAUUCUGACAUCACCCCCCACCCCAGCCUUGACAUUCAAGCACAUCUACACUUUUUCCUGUUUAAUACAUAGCACCAAAGGCAACACACUGUACUUCUAGAAGGAAAAACACGUUUUUUAAUUCCUCUGCGUUUUCUGCUUAUAGUCUUUAUCUCUGGCUGGUCUUUUGUUAUUUCUUUUGGUGUGUGAUGGAGGCAGGGUGACGGGAUGGGACACAAAUAGCAAAGGUCUAUAAGGUUCAAGGAAAGAGUUUCUGAAUACCUCAGAUUACUUAAUACACAACGGGAACUAACUUUCCAACACGUUAGCAAACAUAUUGGCAACAAGUUCAAAUUUAAGGCUACUAGUGUGCUUUUAGUUAGUUUGGUAGCAAAUAAAGAAUUUUUGCUAAGUUCCUAAAGCAAUGUGAAGGACAGUAUCACAGGUUAUAAAUGUGGGAAGGGUUGAUUAACUCACAGAGCCCUCCUCUCUUUGGGGGAAGAAGUGUGAGGGUGGAUUAUUUGUCUCUAGACCUUUGUUGUUAUUAUUUCUUUUAUAUUAGGAUUUCAUUUAAACCCAGUGAAAUUAUUUCUCUCAAAACAGCAUUUACAUAGCAAAUCAGUUUGUGAAAGGAAAUGAAGAGCCCAAAUGUGAGAGCUGUUAAUGAGGUGGCAGGCAAUACAGACAGCGAGCACUUGGGCUCAGUUUGUUUCUGACCCUCCACUAAUGCUGAGAUUUUUCUCACCCAUUCCCACAGGCCUGUGAGGUGUGUCCCUCCAGACUGAGAGGCUAUGACUCAGGGUUGGACUUUAUGGAAAAAAAGAAGUUUAUAAAACAAGUAACCCAGUUUCUCCAACCUUUACUGUGGAGCAACAGCGUCAAGCAACAAAACCCAGCAAAGUUUUGCUUGUCACUUACAAGGGUGUUACUGAAAUCUGGAAGGCGAACAAUUAGAAGAUAGCCCAAACAUGCUCUAUUGCUCUACACUGAAAUACUUGCCUCCAAUAAUAGAAAAAACCUGUUUUCGUG